UACAGAGGGUGCAAACGUUGUUCGGAAUCACUGGGCGUAAAGCGUGUGUAGGCGGUCUCGAAAGUCGGAUGUGAAAGCCCUGGGCUCAACCCAGGAAGUGCACCCGAAACUGUGAGGCUAGAGUAUCGGAGAGGUUGGUGGAAUUCUCGGUGUAGAGGUGAAAUUCGUAGAUAUCGAGAGGAACACCGGUGGCGAAGGCGGCCAACUGGACGAAUACUGACGCUGAGACACGAAAGCGUGGGGAGCAAACAGG
rnacentral:rRNA from 1 species